CAAAAAAUAAUUUAAUAAAAAUAUUAAUUUUGGAAAUUAACAAUAUAAAUUUUAUUUUAUUUUUUUGA
rnacentral:tRNA from 1 species